rnacentral:rRNA from 1 species
UGGGGAAUUUUGCACAAUGGGGGAAACCCUGAUGCAGCGACGCCGCGUGAUUUAGAAGGCCUUCGGGUUGUAAAAAUCUUUUUUACGGGAUGAAAAUGACAGUACCGUAAGAAUAAGGUCCGGCUAAAUACGUGCCAGCAGCCGCGGUAAUACGUAUGGACCGAGCGUUGUCCGGAAUCAUUGGGCGUAAAGGGUACGUAGGCGGCCUAGUAAGUUAGAAGUUAAAGAAUAUAGCUCAACUAUAUAAAGCUUUUAAAACUGCUAGGCUUGAGGGAUGGAAGGGAAAGUGGAAUUCCUAGUGUAGCGGUGAAAUGCGCAGAUAUUAGGAAGAAUGCCGGUGGCGAAGGCGACUUUCUGGUCAUCAUCUGACGCUGAGGUACGAAAGCGUGGGUAGCAAACAGG